rnacentral:rRNA from 1 species
GACGAACGCUGGCGGCGUGCCUAAUACAUGCAAGUCGAGCGCAGGAAAUCGACGGAACCCUUCGGGGGGAAGUCGAUGGAAUGAGCGGCGGACGGGUGAGUAACACGUAAAGAACCUGCCCUCAGGUCUGGGAUAACCACGAGAAAUCGGGGCUAAUACCGGAUGGGUCAUCGGACCGCAUGGUCCGAGGAUGAAAGGCGCUUCGGCGUCGCCUGGGGAUGGCUUUGCGGUGCAUUAGCUAGUUGGUGGGGUAAUGGCCCACCAAGGGGACGAUGCAUAGCCGACCUGGGAGGGUGAUCGGCCACACUGGGACUGAGACACGGCCCAGACUCCUACGGGAGGCAGCAGUAGGGAAUCUUCCACAAUGGACGAAAGUCUGAUGGAGCAACGCCGCGUGAACGAUGAAGGCCUUCGGGUCGUAAAGUUCUGUUGUAAGGGAAGAACAAGUGCCGCAGGCAAUGGCGGCACCUUGACGGUACCUUGCGAGAAAGCCACGGCUAACUACGUGCCAGCCGCCGCGGUAAGAC